rnacentral:rRNA from 1 species
CCUACGGGUGGCAGCAGUGAGGAAUAUUGGUCAAUGGGCGCGAGCCUGAACCAGCCAAGUAGCGUGAAGGAUGACUGCCCUAUGGGUUGUAAACUUCUUUUAUAAGGGAAUAAAGUGUGGUACGUGUGCCUUUUUGUAUGUACUUUAUGAAUAAGGAUCGGCUAACUCCGUGCCAGCAGCCGCGGUAAUACGGAGGAUCCGAGCGUUAUCCGGAUUUAUUGGGUUUAAAGGGAGCGUAGGUGGGUUGUUAAGUCAGUUGUGAAAGUUUGCGGCUCAACCGUAAAAUUGCAGUUGAAACUGGCAUGCUUGAGUACAGUUGAGGUAGGCGGAAUGCGUGGUGUAGCGGUGAAAUGCUUAGAUAUCACGAAGAACUCCGAUUGCGAAGGCAGCCUACUAAAC